AUCACAUCUUAACCUUUUGGCUAAAAUAAUGGGUAGUGUCUGUUCUUAAGACUUUAGUGUUUGGUAAAUCCUCUCUCUGAGGAUAGUAUAUUAAAUGUGUGUGGUGCUUGCUCCAUCCAUUCUGUGGACAAAACUGGCUUUGCAGUACCUCCAAGAAUGGUGCACCAGAA
ensembl:snRNA U2 U2 spliceosomal RNA